GACGGAGGGUGCAAGUGUUAUCCGGAAUCACUGGGCGUAAAGCGUCUGUAGGUGGUCAAAUAAGUCAACUGUUAAAUCUUGAGGCUCAACCUCAAAAUCGCAGUCGAAACUAUUAGACUAGAGUAUAGUAGGGGUAAAGGGAAUUUCCAGUGGAGCGGUGAAAUGCGUAGAGAUUGGAAAGAACACCGAUGGCGAAGGCACCUUACUGGGCUAUUACUAACACUCAGAGACGAAAGCUAGGGUAGCAAAUGGG
rnacentral:rRNA from 1 species